GACGAACGCUGGCGGCGUGCUUAACACAUGCAAGUCGAACGGAAAGGCCCUGCUUUUGUGGGGUGCUCGAGUGGCGAACGGGUGAGUAACACGUGAGUAACCUGCCCUUGACUUUGGGAUAACUUCAGGAAACUGGGGCUAAUACCGGAUAGGAGCUCCUGCUGCAUGGUGGGGGUUGGAAAGUUUCGGCGGGUUGGGAUGGACUUGCGGCUUAUCAGCUUGUUGGUGGGGUAGUGGCUUACCAAGGCUUUGACGGGUAGCCGGCCUGAGAGGGUGAACGGCCACAAUGGGACUGAGAUACGGCGCAGACAGCAACGCGCGGCAGCAGUGGAGAAUCUUGCACAGUGGGCGGAAGUCUGUUGCCGCAACGCCGCGUGUGGGAUGACCGGCAUGUGGUUGUAAACGGCUUUCGCCUGUUACGUAGCGUGGGUGACGGUAAUGGGUAAAGAAGCACCGGAUAACUACGUG
rnacentral:rRNA from 1 species